rnacentral:rRNA from 1 species
GAUGAACGCUGGCGGCGUGCCUAAUACAUGCAAGUCGAGCGAACAGAUGAGAAGCUUGCUUCUCUGAUGUUAGCGGCGGACGGGUGAGUAACACGUGGGCAACCUACCUAUAAGACUGGGAUAACUCCGGGAAACCGGGGCUAAUACCGGAUAAUAUUUUGAACCGCAUGGUUCAAUAGUGAAAGACGGUUUCGGCUGUCACUUAUAGAUGGACCCGCGCCGUAUUAGCUAGGUGGUAAGGUAACGGCUUACCAAGGCGACGAUACGUAGCCGACCUGAGAGGGUGAUCGGCCACACUGGAACUGAGACACGGUCCAGACUCCUACGGGAGGCAGCAGUAGGGAAUCUUCCGCAAUGGGCGAAAGCCUGACGGAGCAACGCCGCGUGAGUGAUGAAGGUCUUCGGAUCGUAAAACUCUGUUGUUAGGGAAGAACAAAUUUGUUAGUAACUGAACAAGUCUUGACGGUACCUAACCAGAAAGCCACGGCUAACUACGUGCCAGCCGCCGCGGUAA